rnacentral:rRNA from 1 species
UUGGAGGGCAAGUCUGGUGCCAGCAGCCGCGGUAAUUCCAGCUCCAAUAGCGUAUAUUAAAGCUGUUGCAGUUAAAAAGCUCGUAGUUGAAUUUCGGGGUUAGUAGGUUGGUCAUGCCUCUGGUAUGUACUGGUCUCACUGAUUCCUCCUUCCUGAUGAACCUUAAUGCCAUUAAUUUGGUGUUUUGGGGAAUUUGGACUGUUACUUUGAAAAAAUUAGAGUGUUUAAAGCAAGCUAACGCUUGAAUACAUUAGCAUGGAAUAAUGAAAUAGGACGUUCGAUCCUAUUUUGUUGGUUUCUAGGAUUGACGUAAUGAUUAAUAGGGAUAGUUGGGGGCAUUAGUAUUCAAUUGUCAGAGGUGAAAUUCUUGGAUUUAUUGAAGACUAACUACUGCGAAAGCAUUUGCCAAGGAUGUUUUCAUUAAUCAAGAACGAAAGUUAGGGGAUCGAAGACGAUCAGAUACCGUCGUAGUCUUAACCAUAAACUAUGCCGACUAGGGAUCGGAUGAUGUUAAUUUUUUAAUGACUCAUUCGGCGCCUUACGGGAAACCAAAGUGUUUGGGUUC